GAAUCCUUUCAAAUCACGGUUCUUUGGGGGAUAUUAAAGUCGGGUUUUGGCUUCCAAAUGACUAUGUGUAACCUAAACCACGAAAAUGUGUCUUGUUUUAAAUUCCCAUGGACAAAAUUAGUAUGAGUCUUGAACCACCGUUUCCUGUGGAAAAUACUAGCCCACAUUGGGAAUAAAUUUUCCCCUAAAACCUUGCUGGUAUUAUGGAACAAUUUUGACAAUAGUCUUGCUAGUAAGUAAAGAUUUUUUUUUUUUUUUGGUUUAUUAUUAUUUACCACUACAAAGUUCAGUAAAGUCAUUACCUUAAAUCUUGGAUGAAAAUUUAUUCAAAAACGUAUUUCAAUAAUAAUAGGCUAAGGGAAUUUUGUGGCAAAGGUUUAUUUUUCAUCAUUAUUUUUGUAUUUCUUUUGUCUUUCUAAGAGUAUAGCUAACAGAUGAAUACAGUAGGUAGAUUAAGUAGGUAAAUUUUAAUAAUGGAAUGUUUCUCCCAAGGAGACAAAGUUGGCCUCAAGCUUAAAAGAAAAACAUACACACUUAUCAAUUAAGUCAAGACUUGUUGAUUUAAACAUUUCUGACUUGCUCAGAGUUCUUUUGUCUAAUAGCACAAAAGGCGAGCAUAUAGCUGAAAUUAACAAGGAAAAAAAUAAAGUAUUUUAGUUGUCACAGAAUUAUUUUACUUAAUCACACAUAGUCAAAGGGCACCAUUUCCGGACUUUUCUCACGGUUUUUUUUGUUUUUUUUUUUAACUACGUUUUUCAAACACAGCUCAAAUCAUGUGGCGUUACGUCAUCUGGGCUAUGAAGAAUCCAAAUGGUGAUGGGUGCCGUUUUCCUGUUGUCCAGGAUUGUAGAAAAGAUGAAAUCUCUAGAAAAGGAAUCCCAAACAACAACAACAACAACAACAACAAAGGCAAAAGAAAUUUGAGUCCAUUUAAUGCAUAACCCAAGUGUUGCAGAUCCUCUCAGUUCAUGGAAACAUCAACCUUCUGCCGAAUUGUAUAAUAUGGUAUUAGAAUAUAGUCAAAAGUCUUGUUUAACAGUUUAAGAGUACAUGAGAUGAUAGUUAUACUGAUAUGCCUGAAUAAGCUCCUAUCUUACUUGACCCCACUGAAGGUAGCAUGUGAAACUCUAAGUAAAAUAUUUCUUAAAGCAUUAUUUGAAUGCAUGAGAAUAAAAAAAUAGGCAGAUUCUGGAGGGAAUUUGAAAGUUGAAAGAAUGGAUUGCAAGAAAUGAGCUGAUGGUUUUUAUAACAUGCAGCACUAAAAUGCCAUAAAAAUGCCAAUAGAAAAUCUGUAGUUUUUCUGACUUGAAGAUUUAGAUAAAUCAAUUUAUCAAAAGGAAAAUGAUGAGGAAAUCCCAGAAAGAAGAGUCGUAGAGAGUUGGAAUUUCAAAUUUUGUGUGUAAAUCUUCCCAAUUAUCUGACCAAUAAGCCAUGCAUGCAUAGAACAGAUUCAAAACAGUCCAGGUAAAGAUUUUUAAAAAUGAACUAUGAUCUGAGCUCCCACCUACAAAAUAAAAUUUGUAGUUUGAUUCCUAAAAAGUUACUUGCCCAGUAAGACAAGAACAAAAGUACUCUGAAGAAACACAUAGUAUAACAGAAUCCAUAGUCUUCAUAAUAUAGCAUCAAAAUACCUAUGAUGCAACCCAAAAUUAUUUGACAUAUGAAGAUCCAGAAAAAUGUGACAAAUUCCAAAAUCUGAGUUGUUUCAUGAGGAAAGACAAUCAAGACUACUAUGAGAUAACUCAAAUUUUAGAAUUACAAGGCAAGAAGUUUUAAGAAUUUCUUAUACUUAUUGAGGUAAAUGAGAAAUGCUUAAAAUGAAGAAACCUCUGUAGAGAAAUAUAAACUAUAUUAAAAGUGGAAAUUCUAGAAUUGCAAAACACAAAAGAUAAAAGAAAUAUUAGCUCGAUGGGAUUAAUAACAUAAUGAGGAUGACAUAGGAAAUAAUUCCUAAAUAGAAAAAUAAAUUAAUAGAAAAUAUUCAACCUGAAGAAUGCAGAGAAAAAAAGAGAGAAAAUUAGAAAGCUCUAGUGCCCUCUUGGACAAUAACAGAAAGUCAAAUAGAAAUGAACACUUCAAUUAAAAGGUGGAGAUUAUUAGAAUAGAUUAAAAAGCAUUAACAAAUACUGUCAAUAAGAGAUGCAUUUUAAAUAUAAAGACAGAUAGGUCUAGAGUAGGUACCUGGCAAAAGAUAUACUAUGAAAAUAAACCUAAGAUGGAUGAUUGGUCCAAAAUAAUAUCAGACAAUGUAAGCUUUAAGAUACAUAAUAUUACCAGAGGAUUACUAGAACAUCUAGGAGAAAACACUAUAGUUCAACAGAGAAGUCUGGGAAACACCUAAAGCACAGGAAGAGAAAAAGGAAGCAGCCAGCUCCUCCAACAUCAGCCAGGAGCUCAGAGGGGCUAGGCAUUUUAGGGGAAGCAUAAUUGAGAGAAUUUCAGCAGUCCACAUUUCCACUGUAGACUGAAGCAAUCCAAACCAUGAGUGGGCUCCUCUACCCACCUGAACUCUGCUGUAGAGAGCAAGAGAGUCAAAGCUGUGUUCUAGGACCAUGGAUGGCAAACCCACACCACAGCCACCACCAACACCAGUGCACGCCACUUAGGACCCAGAGGGUCAUUCCACAACUGUUACUGCCAUUAACCACACCAUGCUGACUUCCCAAGGACCAGGGAAUCCACUUACAUGCCCAGCCCAUAGUUGCCGAUACCAGUAUCCAAGCAUACCAUCUGGAGACCCAAGAAUUAGCCCACCUGGUCCCACUAACACCAGCACCAGCAUAUGCCACCCUGGAGCCCAAGAUCAGGCAAACUCUGCCUAUUGCUGCCACUGCUUCUCAGCCCAAUAAAGAUGGGCAAACCUGGCAUCCCUGUCCCAAGGAAAACUUCACCAUGACCUCCACUAAUAAUUACAUCCUAAACCAUUGAGGAAAUCACAGAUACCACUGAUAUUGUUUACAGAAAAAGGAAUUAUAAGAAAUUACACUACCAGUUGCACCCCAAGUUAGUCAAAGUGCCACACCUUACCAACGCCAUUGAGGCAUCCUCAAGAGAAAAUUAUCCCUGACAAAAUCAAAUUAAAAAAACUGAAAGAAGCAACUAUUACACCAGAGGCGUAGACAUCAACAGAAGGACACAGGAAGCAUGAAAAUCAGGAAAUAUAACACCUCCAAAGGAAUACCAUAAUUCUCCAGAAACAGAUUCCAAUUAAGGAAAUUCAGGAAAUCCUAAAAAAGAAAUUCAAAAUUGUGAAACUAAAGAAGCUCAGGGAGAAACAAGAGAAUUAAAUAUACAAAGAAAACAAUUGCAGAACACUCAGAAUGAGAAAUUUGCCAAAGACACACAUUUCAAAGGAACUACACACAAUUUUAGAAAUGAGGCAUUCCUUGAAUGACAUACAAAAUACACACAAAAGCUUCAACAAUAGACUAGGUCAAACAAAAGAAACAAUCUCAGAACUUGAAAACAGACCUUUUUAAAUAACCCACCCAGACAAAAACAAAGAAAAAAGAAUUUAAAACCUGAACAAAUUCUUCAUGCUAUAUGGAAUACCAUAAAGCAACCAAAUAUAUGUGUUAUCAUCAUCCCCAAAAGUGAGGAGAGAAUGGAAGUUUUUCAAAACCUGUUCAGUGAAAUAAUAGAUUAAAAAGUACAAAGUCUAGCAAGAGACUGAGACAUCCAGAUACAGAAGACCCAGUAUUCCUAAACAGUACAAUGCAAAAAGGGCUUCUCCAUGUCACAUUAUAGUCAAACUGCAUAAAGUCAUUGACAAUGAGAAAAUUCUAAAACCUGCAAGAGAAAAGCAUCUACUCACCUAUAAAUGAGCACCCAUCAGAUUAACAGUGUACUUCUUAGUAGAAAACUUAUAGGCCUGGAGAGAAUGGGAGGAUAUAAUCAAAGUGCUGAAAGAAGAAAACUGCCACCCAAAGAUACUAUAUUCAAGAAAAUUAUCUGUAAUAAAUGAAGGAGAAAUAACUUCUUUCCCAGAAAGGCAAAUGCUGAGAUAAUUCACCACCACUAGACCUACCUUACAAGAAAUGCUCAAGGGAGUCCUAAACCUGAACGUGAAACGAUGCCAGUUACCAUCACAAAAACACACAACAAUACAAAACUCACAAACAAAGCAAACACACAAAUUAGAAACAAAUAGACUCAAAUGGUACCACCACAGAAAAUCAACAAACCACAAGGACAGACAGUAAGAGAAAAAGACAGGAAAAAGGAGUAUAAAAAACAAACAGAAAAUAAUUAAACCAUAUGACAGGAACAAAACAUAAGCAUCAAUAUUAACCCUAAACAUAUAUGAAUUAUAUUCUUCACUAAAAAGUUAUAAACUGGUUGGAUAAAUUUUUUUUAAUAAUCCAAUGGUAUGCUGCCUACAAGAAACUCACUUUGCCUGUAAAAACACAUAUAGACUCAAAAUAAAGGGAUAGAAAAAGAUACUCCACACAAAUGGAAACCAAAAGCAAGCAGCAGUAGCUAUACUUAUAUCAGAUAAAAUGGACUUUAAGUCAAAAACAGUAAAAACCAAAAAAGACAAAAAAGUUCACAAUGUAAUGAAUAUAAUGAUAAAAAUACCAAUCUAUCAAGAAAAUAUAACAAUUCUAAAUACAUAGGCACUCAACACUGGAACAUGCAUAUUUAUAAAGGAAAUAUUACUAGAUCUAAAAAGAUAUACUACGAUACAAUAAUGUAAGGGACUGCAACACCCCGCUCUGAGCAUUAAAUAGAUCACCUAGACAAAAAAUUAACAAAAAAUUAGACUAAAAGUGAAAUUUCUACCUAUGGACCUAACAGACAUUUACAGAACAUUUAUCCAACACCUGCAGAAUACAUAUUCUUCUCAUAAGCACAUAAAACAUUCUCCAGUACUGAGCAUAUGGUAAGCUACAAAAUAAGUCUCAGCAAAUUUUAAAAAAUUAAAAUCAUGUCAAGUGUCUUCUCAAACCAUAAUAAAAUAAAACUAGAAAUCAAUUUAAAAAAUGAAAUUUGGAACUAUGCAAAUGCAUGGAAAUUAACAUGCUACUGAAUGAAGAAAUUAAAGUGGAAAUCAAAAAAUUUCUUGGAAUAAAUUAAAAUUUAAAAACCAACAUACCAAAACGUGUGUAUCUCAGCAAAAGCAGUGCUAAGAAAAAAGUUUUUAGCAAUAAGUACCUACAUCUGAAAAAACAGAAAGACUUCAAAUAAAUAAUUGAAUGAUGCACCUCAAGCAACAAGAAAAGCAAGAGCCCAAAUUAGAAGCAGAAAAUAAAAGACCAGAGCAGAAUUAAACAAAAUAGAGACUACAAAAAUUAAAAGGAUGAACAAAAUUAAAAAUUAAUUCUUCAAAAACAUAAAAAAUUGAUAGAUCACAACUAGACUAAGUAAAUAAAAGAAGACUCAGAUAAAUAAAUUUUGAGAUGAAAAAGUAAACAUUAAAACUAAUACUGCAGAAAUAGAAAAGAUUUUCAGACUCCAUUAGGAACAACUAUAUGCUAAAAAAUAAAACCUGGAAAAUCAAGAGGGAAUACAUAAGAUCCUGAAAAUAUGCAAUCUACCAAGAUUAAAUCAGACAUAAAUAGAAGAUCAGAAUAGAACAAUAGUGAAUAAUGAGAUUGAACCCAUAAUAAAAAUUCUCACAACAAAGAAAAGCCCAGGAUAUUGGAUUCACUACAGAAUUCUACCAAAUGUUUAUAAAAGAACUAAUAUCAAUCCGCCUCAAACGAUUUCAAAAAAAUUAAAGUUCUUCCUAACUCAUUCUAUGAGACCACCAUUAUUAUGAUACCAAAACCAGAAAAGGACAUAACAACAAAAACUACAGGCCAAUAUCCUUGAUAAACACAGAUGCAAAAAUCCACAACAAAAUACUAGCAAACCAUAUUCAAAAGUACAUCAAAAAGAUAACACAUGAUCAACUGGGAUUUCAUUGUUGAUACAAGCAUGGUUCAACAUAUACAAAUAAAUAAGUGUGAUACAUCACAUAAACAGAAUGAAAGACAAAAACCACAUGAUCAUCUCAAUACAUGCAGAAAAAGCAUUUGACAAAAUUCAACACCCUUCAUGAAGAAAACUCUCAAUAAACGAUGCAUAGAAGGACCAUACAUGAAUAUCUUAUGUGGACAGUCCUGUAGACCUCACUAUUUCCUUGAUGUAUGAGGCAGAAAACAGUUUUAGAAAUACCUCAGGAAGCAGUUUGAAAAGAUUAUUCAUAGUCCACAAAGAAACAAACAAAAAGAAGCAGACACAUAGUCCAAUGGAACAGAAUAGAAAACCCAGAAAUAAAUCCAUAUAUUUACAGUCAACUGAUCUUCAACAAAUCAAGAACAUACAUUAGGGAAAAACUGGAUAACCUCAUGAAGAAGAAUGAAACUGGACCCCUAUCUCUCCUCAUAUAUAAAAACCAACUCAAGAUGGAUUAAAGACUUAAAUGUAAGACCUGAAACUAUAAAAACACUAGAAAAAUUAUAAAGAAAACUCUUCAGGACAUUAGGCAAUUAUUGUACAGGUAAGACUUCAAGAGCAAAAUCAACAAGAGCAAAAAACAUAGACAAAUUGGACUAUAUUAAACUAAAACAGCUUCUGCACAGCAAAAGUGGCAAUCAACAGAGUGAAGAGUCCAUCUGUCAAAUACGAGAAAAUAUUUUUAAGUAGCUGCUCUGACAGGAGAUUAUAUCCAGAAUAUACAAGGAACUCAAAUAUCUCAACAGAAAAAAAAGAUAAUCCCAUUAAUAAAUGAGCAAAGAUAAAUUUCCACAUAACCAGAGAAUUCUCAAAAGAAGACAUACAAAUGGCCAAUAGAUAUGUUAAAGAAAAAAAAAAAGCUCAACACUGCUGAUCACAAGUGAUGUGGUUUGGAUCUGUGUCUGUCCAAAUUUCAUGUUGAAUUGUAAUCCCCAGUGUUGGCGGUGGAGCCUGAUGAGAGGUGAGGUGAUUGGACCAUGGGAGCAGUUUCUCAAGAAUGGCUGAGCACCAUCCCAUAGUGCUGUUCCCAUGAUACAGUUCUCAUCAGAUGUGGUUGUUUAAAAGUGUGUGGCACCUCCUCUCUCUCUUUACUGCUCCUGCUCCUGCCAUGUAAGAUGUCUGCUCCUGCUUUGCCUUCCAUUAUGAGUAAAAGCUUCCUAAUUCCUGCCCAGAAGCAGAAGCUACUAUACUUCCUAUAUAGCCUGUGCAACUGAGUUAAUUAACCUCUUUUCUUUAUAAAUUACCUAGUCUCAGGUAGUUCUUUAUAGCAAUGUGAAAACUGACUAAUACAAUGAGGGAAAUACAAAUCAAAACCACAAUGAGAUUUCAUCUCACCCUGAUAGAAUGGCCAUUAUUAAAGAGACAAAAAAUAAGAAGAUGUUGGCAAGGAUGAAGAAAAAAUGGAACUCUCAUAAGCUGUUGGUGGAAGUGUAAGUUAGCGCAAUUCCUAUGGAAAACAGCAUGGACAUUUCUCGAAAAGCUAACAGUAGAACUACCAUGUGAUCCGGCAAUCUCACUGCUAGAUAUCUAUCCAAAGGAAAAGACAGUAUAUCAAAGAGAUGCCUGUACUUAGAUGUUUAUUGCAGCACUAUUCGCAAUAGAAAAUGUAUGGCAUUAAACUAAGUGCUCAACAACAGACAAAGGUAUAAGACAAAUGUGGUAUAUAUACAUAAUGGAAUACUAUUCAGCCAUAAAAAAAAUGAAAUUAUGUCAUUUGCAAAAAUAUGAAUGGAACUGGAGGUCAUUGUGUUAAGUGAAAUAAGCCAGGCAAAGAAAGAAAAAUACCGCAUAUAUUUUUCCAAGAUUGUGAGAGAACAAAUUUCUAUUGUUUUAAUCCACCCAGUUUGCGGUACUUUGUUAUGGCAGCUCCAAAAAAUCAAUUUCCUUGUUCUUAUUUCUGACCCACAAAAAGUGAAGAUAAUAAAGGUUUGCUGUUUCAAGAUGCUAUGCUGAGUUUUAGACUAAAUUGUUAUGCAGCAGUAGAUAACUAAUACACAUAUUGCUUUGAACUAUAUAAAUGUGUGACAGUUCUAAGAGUAAAAGGUAAGGGAAUGAUACACAAAUUUCAAAGUAGUGUUUACUUGUAGGAGGAAGGCAGACAUGAGAUAGAGGGGAAUAUAUUUAACUAUAGUGAAGAUAUGAUAGCUCUUUUUUGCUUGUAUUAUUUUUAAUUGACACAUAAUAAUCAUACAUAUUUAUGGGAUACAGUGUGACAUUUCAAUACAUGUAUACAAUGUGUAAUGAUCAAAUCAGGAGAAUUAGAAUAUUCAGCACCUCAAACACAUAUCAUUUCUUUGUGUAUGGGACAUUCAAAAUUUACUCUUCUCACUAUUUGAAAAUAUACAAUAAGUUGUUAUUAAUAAACUGUAGAACAAUAUAACCUAUUCCUCCUAUUUAGUGGUACUUUUGUAUUUGUUAACUUACCUUUGGCUAUCCUCUCUCCCCCUACCAUUCCCCACCUCUAGUAACCACUAUUCUUCUAUUAUACUUCUAUGAGAUCUACUUUUUAAGCUUCCACGUAAAAGUGAGAACAUGAAAUAUUUGAGAUAUGCUAAUUCUUAAAUUUUUGCAGGGUUCAAAGGUGUCCAUCUUAAUGUUAUGCUUUAUAAUAUAGAUAUAUUUAUCAAUAUCAUGUUGAUUAUGUCAAUAUUAAAUUUAAAAAAAUGUAACUAUGUUGUUUAGAAAAAUUAAAAAAUUUAAUACAGAAAAUAACAAAUCCUCUCUAGCCACCUGCUUUGUUUAUAAAAUAAAACUUGCUACAUCUCAAU
rnacentral:lncRNA from 10 species